GUCAUUCGUCCUCCUCUGCUGCCCGUUGCCCCACCGCCUCACACUGUCCGUCGCCGCACCACCAUCCGGGCGCUUUUACCUCCGGCCUCAACCACCGCGACGUUGACGGAUGUCCACCACUUCCGCCAACACAAUUAGUCCGAGCAACGCCAUCACCACUUCUCCACCACGCUUCAACCUGUCGACCAACAACCGAGCCACCGCAACCGCCCGACUCCACUCCGUCACGCGCCUCCACUACGAUAGUCUCCAUACCGAGUCCAACCACCUCCGAGCCUGUGCCCAAACCCGCGCUCACCCGGACCCAGCUGCGCCGACCGCCGCCGCCGGUCUUCAUCCUCCGAUAUGCUUUGAUCUUUGAGGAGGUGGAUUUCGUGCUCCAUAAUGCUUUUGGCGGCAUGUCCCUUUGACUUUUGGAUCGAAGAGGGACGAGUUGAUGCUUUGGUGAAGAACGCGAUGAACAACUCGAAGCUUUGGGAUGAAUUUUGGAUGCUCUUCCUUGGCUUUGAUGGAUUCUUCAACGGCUUUUGGAACUUUGAUCUUUGAAGAAGUGGAUUUGGUGCUCCAUAACACUUUUGGCGGCGUUUCCCUUUAAAUUUUGGAUUGAAGAGAGGCUAGUUGAUGCUUUGUUGAAGAACGCGAUGAACAUCUUGAAGCUUUGAGAGAAACUUUGAAGACCUUCCCUUGGCUUUGACGAAUUCUUCAACGGCUUUGAGAACUUUGAUCCUUGAAAAUGUGGAUUUGGUGCUCCAUAACAUUUUUGGCGGCGUGUCCCUUUGACUUUUGGAUCGAAGAAGGCCUAGUUGAUUCUUUGUUGAAGAACGUGAUGAACAUCUUGAAGCUUUGAGAGGAACUUCGGAGACUUUUCCUUGGCUUUGACAAAUUCCUCAACGGCUUUGAGAGCUUUGAUCCUUCCUCCGACUUGGACAUAAGACGAAGAACGUUAACUUCAUUGAUUUGUCAACCACUAUUGGAUCAUUUGUCCAAAUUAGUGAUUUUCGAUGAAGAACGCUUCGAAGGACACGAAGAACAUGAAGAACAAUACAUAGAGAGUCUAGAGACUUACCCAUUUUCUUGAAUCCUCGAUGAAACUUCGGUGUCUCAAAUGAACUGGCCAUGACUCCUAUUUAUAGGGGAGGGGUGGCUUCGACUUCCUUUUUUAAUGGUGUCACGUGGUGCGUUUUGAUUGGCCAAUAGGAAUAUUUUAUAAUCUUUCAUUUUCCAUCAGAUGUUUUCCAUUCUUGACGGAUUUGAUUGUGCACAUUCCUUUCUCGCCAUGAUCUUUAUAUCAUUGCUAUUUUUCGGAAGAUAUUAAUUUAUAUACUUUCUUUAUUGACAAGAUUAAGUUAUUUUGCUGCCAAAAUUAUUAUGACUCUGUUUAUGCACGUAAUAUUUGUACGAUAUCUUCCAUUUUAAGCAAAUUUUUGCAUUAAUGGUUGAUAUUUAUUGUACAAAAAUUAACAUAUGUGCAUAAUUAAAUACCAUAUAUUUAUUUUAUUGGAAUUUUAUUUUCUUCCAAAAUACAUGAUAUUUAAUUGAUUUUAGACAUAUAUUUUUACACUACAAGAAAAAAUAAUUUUUGUAACAAAAUUUUUUUGUCUCUAAAUUUACUUUUUCCGUUACUAAUGACAUUAGAGACGGAAUUAUGAACGGAAUUACGUUAGCUACGUAAACUUUAGGGACGGAAUUUUGUUACAAAUAUAUUAUUUUUUUGUAGUGUUAGUGUCUACACCUUCAUCAUUGUUCUUUUAAUAUUUUAAAUUUUAGGAUAAUUAUUGGUCAGCAACUGAUAUUGUUGCUUGCCAAUUAAUAUUGAAUUUAUUGCCAGUGAUCAUGAAUUUUGUGUCGAUAAUUUAAGAAGUGAUAGUAAUGUUAAAGUGUUAGGCAUGUGAUUUGCUAAUUCAAUUUUUGAAUAUUCUUCCUUAGACUAGUUAUAUUGGUGUUAUGAAUUUUGUUGAACUUGUGCGCCCCAAUUUUUUUCUGUGAUGGUUGAAUUGCAUUGCCUAGGAAUUUUAUGUGAUAUCUAUGUUGAUUUAUCUCUCUCUCGACUCUUUUAUCGGCUAUUGGUUGUGAUAUAAAACUGAUUUGAUUAUCUUGACUUGGUUUGGCAUGCUUGAAUUGAAAAUUGAACUUUUUUUUUAUGCUGAACCUUGAUUAUCAGUGGUGUCUUUGCUGCAAUUGAUUCUUUCGCGUGUUAAUUGAGUGUUUUUCACUUCAUUGCCUUAAAUGUAUGAUGUGAAUUUUUAUUUUUAUUUUUAUUUUUUGUAUCAAUUAUUCGGUGUGGCGAUACUUUCAUGUGACUUGUUAGCUCACAUAUUGCUCUUUGAUAGCUAGUUGUGUUGGGUAGUCUGUUUUGUUAUUUUCUUCCACACCUGAUGUGUAUUUCUCUUGUUAGUUGUAAUGGCAUCUGACAUGUUGAAAAACUUUGAAUCUAUUUUGACCAACUAGUCUAAAUUCAAAUUAUGGGACUUAGAUUGUAAGUGCAAUGAGUUUUGUCGUAUUUUUCAAUAAUAUGUAGUAGUCUAUAAAAUUAGGGGUUUAUUUACACUGAUGGAACAAAUUUGAUAUUUCACUUGCAAUGAGUUUUGUAAAUAGAACAAAUUUUAUAUUUCUCGGCUUUUAAAUAAUGCGUUUUGUAUUAUGUCUGAUGUACAUUAGGCUAUUUUAUUUUCCCUUGAUAUGUUUGUGUGUGUUAAUCAUCUUUGGAUGAAUGUGAUGUAUUGAUGCAAAAAGAUGUGAUUUCACUUACUGGUGUUGAUCUAGACAAUAGUUUCUAUACACCCUAGAGCGUUGUUAAUUAUCUAAAAUUAUGAGGCUUAAUGGUUUGAAACUAUGAUAUGUGUAAACUUAAUGUAAGUUGUGUGUUAUGGUGCAGAUAUGUGAUGCAUACCCUUUGUUGUUCAAUUACUUUAUAAAUAUGUGUAUUCAAUAAAUAUUGAAUUAUUGCAACCAUGAAUAUAUUUAGUUGUGUAUUAGUAUGUAUUAUUGAAUGUUUUGAAUUUAAAUUUUUUAAAAUAAAGAUAUAUUAGAUGUGAUAUUCUAAAAGUAAAUUAAAUGAUUCAUGUGUCAACAACAUUGUCUUAUGUGUGUGAACUUAUAGAUGUCUUCCUUAUUAACUUAAUAUAGAUGUUAGUGUACUUAUCUGUGAAAAAUGUUAUUCUAUCUUGAAUGUCGAUUAUAAAAUAUUAAAGUCUUUUUUUUCUUGUUACGUCAAUUUCAUCAAAAAUCUCUGAUGUUAAUGGUAGAAGGAUCAAAUAUUAUUGAUAGACUAAAUGCAUGCUGAACAUUUUUGGUGUUCCAAGUUCCCAAACUUUCUUUACUCAAUUUGUCCUAUUAAAUGCAUUAAAUGGGUGGCGUGUGGAAAGUUCGCAAUGAAGAAACAUUAGAUGUGAAAGAACUUAAACAUAAGUGCCACUCAAUAAAAAUUGAUGAAUCUUUUUUUGUUUACCACAUACUUUCACUAUAAACAUUUUGUAUAUGUUUAUAUUUGUGUCGAUAUGAAGAAGAUAUUUGCUUGCUUUCUUCUCUUUUCCAUUACACUGUUUGUUUCAGAGUUGUGGAUUUUGCGUUGCUAAAAAUACAUCAAUUGGUUGCAUUGCAGUAAGAGAGGAAAACUCUUCUCAAGUUCAAAUCAAGCCUUGAUGAUCCUGCUAAUAUUACACUGCCUUUGUGGAGGUGCAUUGAUUGCUGCACAUGGGAAGGUAUUACUUGUGAUGAGACUACAGGGUAUAUCAUCCUACUUAAUCUCAGAUACAAUGGUAUGUUGUUGAGUAAUAUCUUAAGUAGUGAAAGCCUAGAUCCUUCUCUAGUUUAAUUAAAGUAUCAGAACUCACUGGACUUGAGUGGAAACUACUUUCCAUCCAAAAUGAUUCAUGAGUUUUUAGGAUAGCUGAAGCAACCGCAUUAUCUUAAUAUCUCUUUUACUGCCUUUGGAGGAACUGUCCCACAACAUCUUGGCAAUCUUUCAAACCUGCACACCCUUGAUCUGAGCCAAACUUUACAUCCAGUGAUAACUCAUGGCUUUGCAAUCUGUCAUCAUUGGAGCGUCUUGACGUGGAUGGGAUCGACCCUUGUUGUAAGGCCUGUUUGUUGGUUAUUUUUUGCUAUAGAGGCUGUUAUGUUAUUUAUGUUGUAUGAGGAUUUCAUUCGUAUGGUUUAUUUAUUGUUGUACGGACUGAUAUGGAUUAUAGUGUUAUGGUUUAUAAAUGUUGGUUUAUUGUUGUUGUCCGGCCUCAUAUGGACUUAUGCUUUUAUGGAUUAUUCAUUAUUUGGUA